UUUUUUUUUUUUUUUUUAGGUUUAUUGAAACAAAUGAGAAUCUGUCAGCAGAAAUGUCCUUUAAAAUCACCCUUACUUUUGAAGAGUCACAUAGAAGAGUUAAGAUAUGGCUACUUUCCAACUGGUCUCCCGGGGAGGGUUUGGAGCAGUUAGAGGGUCCUGUGAAAGCAGAAUGACAUGAAUCAAAAUAAAACCAAACAUACAAAUGACACAUUAAAUAGUAGCCAUGGGCUACCUUUCCUUUUCUGAUUUCUCUGGUUAGAAACUAAAUGCAGGAAAGAGAUAAGUAUCUGGAGACAGUGCUUGAGGUGUGCUUCCCAUCAGAGAACCAAGGAAUUUUCACUUUUUGGCUUUCUUUCUGGGACUCCCAUAUCAGGAUCAAGAGACGAGUUGGUUCCUAUAGUGGUUUCCAGUUUGCUGUGAGUGGUGAGAGUUCAGAGAACUUCGGCAGUGUGCUAGACUUGACUUUGCAGCACAGACACCCUCUUCUCUUCUUGUCUUUCAUUUUGCCCCCUCCCAUAUACCUGGUACUCUCACACAUUUCUCUUUCUCCAAACUUGAAUAAAAAUGACUCUCAGAUUUUACAUUCAUCCUAAGGGAGAAAUAUUUGCAAAAUCAGAUGGACUCAUGAGAUCAGAAACCUGAAAUGAAGAAAUAAAACUCCAUAGGCAGAAUUCCAGGAAUCAUCCCGUUAGUGGGAGGGUUUUGAGUGGUUUUCUCUCCUUCCCUCUCUUUUCUUCUGCCUUUCUUUCAUAUCAAAAAGUCACAGACCUACUGCUUAUUCUCCAGAAAUGUACAUCUAGUUAAUGACACCAUCCUACAUAAACCAAAUGUGAGCAAUAAUGACAAUAUAAUAGCACCAUGUAUUCAGCAUUUACUGAAACAAUGUGCCAAGCAACUUAAAUAUGUCAUCUCAUUUAAUUCUGAAAAUAACAAUUCUGUGAUGUCAGUAGUAGUUAUUUUCCUCAAUCAGACAGAAUGUGCAUCCAAAAUGACAAAGUCUCAAUUUUUUAUUUCAAUGAAACCUAUGUAAAUAGUAACUUACUUAAUUCACCAGAAUCCACAGCAUCCAACCUGCCCUGUUCCAGAUGUGCAACAACUGGGCUUUGAAAGAGUGUGACUAGAAAAUCAAACAAGGCACGUGGACACACAAAGGAGAUAAGAGGCUCCAAGAGAUCACGUUCCUUUCUUGUGUAAUUUCUUUCAUCUAAUUCUGUCAACAUUUACUGGAAACCUCUAUCUGGAACACAGAUUACCUCAAGUAAUCUGCCUGCCUCAGCCUCCCAAAGAACUGGGACUGCAGGCAUGAGCCACCACGCCCAGACAAUUUAUAAUCCUAGUGAUCAUGUUAGAACAACAUCUGUUGUCAACCAAUCAUUGAGUAUUUGUUGAGGAUAUUCUUCGUGCUACAUUAAGUGAAUGCAGGCAGCAUAUCAAGUCUCUACCUUUUUCACAACCUAGUUUGGUGAGAUAAUGUUAGUAUAGAUUAAGCAAUUGUUACUAGUAAAAAUCAGUAUAUUAUUAAUACUAAGUUGUGUGGCACAGACUAGAACUCUCAGAAAAGAGGCUGCAAUCAUAAAUAUGGUGAGAGUCAGAGAUCCUUCUGGGCUUUAAAGAAAUGCUUAAUCAUAGACUGUGUACCUAUCCCCCUGCUGAACAAGACACAUCCUUAGUUUCAAGACAGACUGGGGUUUGGGAAUAUGGGUAGCUCUGUGCUAAUGCAUCACCCCACUGAGGAAACAGGGUUUGUAUUCUACUUACUGUGGCUUCAUUGCAUAAAUUUUAUGCUCAUUGGAGAGAAUAUUUACUCACAAUCUAGCCCAUCCAUUCUUAUAAAAGAGACCUCUGAAAGCUAAGAGUCACUUUCCUGAGGGAAAUGCAAGACUCUGGGAGAGAGAGGGCACUUUGAGAAUGGGAAAAUUGCCUGUGAAAUCAAAUUUAGGCGAAAAGAUAGCCCAGCAGCCAUAUGUAAAUCAUUCCCUCAUGUAGGAACAAUGCUGUGCACUUGGUAAUUCAAUAGAAAACAUUAGUCAUUUAUCAUCCUUAAUUAUCAGUCAUCUCUAACUGCAUCUGGUUUGCAUUUUUUAUUAGAAAGGUUUUUUUUUUUUUGAGUUGGACUCAGGCAUUUUUUUUCUUCCGUUCCUGAUUUCAUUUUGUUAUUCUUUUUAAAAUUCCAUCACUAAUUCCCAUGAUGUGAAGAGGUUUCUAUUUCAUAAGACACAAUAAAUCAAGCAACGCCUCUGUUGUAUGGCUGUAUUCAACAAUUGGCUCAUGAAACUUCUGCAAAUUUAACACCAUGCUCUUGUGAGCUGGAGUGAGCUGGCAUGAGCACACUACUGCCCGUAUUUAAUGAGGUUGAGAUGCCACAGCUUCCAAGGCAUGAGGAGGAGGAGGGAAUCUGAAGACAGACAAAUAGGAAUGUUGAAGUGGCUGUAUCAUGCUAACUGCACACUCAUUCCCGACUACAUUCCUCUAGAAAGCCCACAAGAUAUCUUCUUCACUAAGACUUCGAUUUUUAAAAAUUUUAUUUCUUGUUAUUUUGUUUUAGUUUAGUAGUACCUUAGGAGGAAGGCAAGGGCUGAAAAACUACCUAUUGAGUACUGUGCUCACGACCUGGGUGAAGGAAUCAUUUGUACUCCAGACCCCAAUGACAUGCAAUCUACCCAAGUAACAAACCUGCACAUGUACCUCCAAACCUAAAAUAAAAGUUGAAAAUGGAAAGAAAAAAAAAAGAUUUUGAACUAUGCGUUGGUGAAGGGAUCACCAGCAUCCUUGCAAAGCUCCGUGGUAAGCUAACUAUGACCAUGGAGGAUGUGCCAUUGAUAUGAGGAUUCUGAUUUCAAUAGGGAUGGUGUUACAGAGUUAAGUUCAUGAUCUUUGGCAUUGCAUACUAGGUCUUUCAUACUUGAUUCCUGUUCACUUCUUUGUCUUAUCUUGAUCACUUCCUCUAUUCUCUAAGUUUCAUUACAUCACGUGACUUUAAGUAUUUGUAUAUAUUUCUUCCUCUGAAGGCCUGUGGUGAUCUUU
rnacentral:lncRNA from 1 species